rnacentral:lncRNA from 1 species
UCGAGGAAGUCAGAAGCAGCUGACAGCUCCUGGGUCCCUGAAUGCCUGGGUGACAAAGAGAUAGCUGGAUGAAUCUAUU